rnacentral:tRNA from 1 species
AUUAGGAUCUGCUACAUCAAGCAAUUGGGCUCAUGUCCCAAAAACGGUUAAUAAGCCUC